ensembl:lncRNA
AUAAUUUGCAACUUUUGCCCACUUUUGUUAUUAUAGGAUCAUCCAGGAAAAAGCUGUUAAAGUUUCAAAUGAGUUUCAUUUGUCUAAUUUACACUAGUGUGCCCCAAUUUAACAUGCAGUCUGCCAGAAGGUGGAGCUCUAAGGUCAGUCAUUUCAAAACAGCACGCAGACAUAAACUCAAGUUAGAAGAGGAAAGUCACAAAAGCCUUGUUGUUUCCUGCUUGUGUAGAUGUUUCUCCUGGUCCUCUUGAUAUUUUCUCCUCUUAAGGAGAAUGCUGAUGCUGAAGUCAUAACACAAUUCCUUACAGAACAGUAUGUUUUGGCAGGAAAAGAUAUUACUCUUUCCUGCAGCUACAGUGGCUAUGUUCAAAAUUUACAGUGGUAUCGUCAGUAUCCCGGAUCCAAACCUGAGAAUAUCAUUUUUCACACCGAGGGCACUGGUCAUUCAGAGAUCAAGCUUCGUCUUUACGCUGAGGCCGAUAAAGAAACCAAACUUAUGAAUUUGAGCAUAUCUUCUACAAAGCUGGAAGACUCUGCUCUGUACUAGAGCCCGACCGAUAUAUCGGCCGGCCGAUAUUAUCGGCCGAUAUGAGCUUAUUGCAUUUAAAUCGGCAUCGGCGUUUAUAACGGCCGAUGGAACAUGAGAAACGGAGUCUCAUGCUUUACUCAUGUUAUGAGUGUUGCAUAGUUUACCCACCAGAGGGAGCUCUGCAGCUCCAGAGUUGACAACAGCGCCAGAAAUUCACUAGCGAAGAAAGCGAUAAGCCAAGCCAGCCACGGAGAUUUUUUUUCUGUUUUGACGGUGAGUCUGUCGUUAGUCAUGUGAAAUGAUUUAGUUCAUACACUGUAUAUACAAUGAUGUGGUAGUUCUAGCUAACGGUCCUAUCAUUAUCACUUAUAAAUAUUCUGUAACAUCACUUACAGCCGCUUAAUGCAUUGCUAUAUUAGAUUAGCCACAGAGCUAAUACCAUGUUUAUCAGUGGAAGAGUGCGAACGUUAAUAAGAGGUCAAACUAUAACGUUAUCGUUUAACUUAUUCUAAAUAUAUCUGCAGUGUUUCCCACAUAAUGACCGGGUAACUGUGGCAGGGGGGCAAUGACUAGAAGUUAUGUUCAGCGUGCCUCGAAAAAACAACAGCUGUUAUGUUAUUGAAUGAAUUCAUUAAAAAUAGGUCAUUGCACUUACAUCAAAUCACGAUAUGGACGAAUAUCUGUAAGUAUUAAGCCGGAAUAGUCUUUUUAAAUAUGAAUCCUGCAUGUUCUGCGUGUCUCUGUUAAUGAAUGGCGCAGAAGCGCCUCUUCAUUCAUUAAACACACGUAAGCGCAUAAGCUCGCGGUGAAUUCAGCGUCUGCUGUCUCACUAAAUAAUCACGUGAACACAUGAACAACAUCUCCAGAACUGCUCUGACAGUCACUUCAUGAGCAUUUGACCGUUUGAUUUAAGUAAAAGCAGUAUCACAUCACAUACACAGAACUGUAAAUGUACGCCAACCCGUCAAAAUAAAAGUCCAGUUAAAGGCUGUUGUUCAGCAGAAUGUACAAAAGCCUAUCAUAGACCCGAUUACUAAAAUAUUCGAUAUUUACAGCCUUAUGUUAUUCUAACGCUAAUAUAGCUUCCUUUUUAGCAGGUCCCUUAAAUGCUUGCUAUUAACUUGAUUGAAGGUGGUUCUUCUCAAAAUUGACAGCGGUGUGUUCAUGACACUAACGUUAACCAUUCAACUUCGAGUAGGUGGGUCAGAAAUGAUUAACCAGAUAGGACAUGUAAAUAAAUGUGAGCUGAACAAGCGCUUUUUUUUAUUUAUUUUUAUUUUUUACAGAUUGUUUCAAAGCAGCUUUAAAGACAUAACAGGAAAAUGUUGUAAUAUUGUUAAAUAGAAGUAGGUAAUAGGUAAUACCUAUUGGUUGACAAAUAAAAAAAAUAUAUAUUUCUCAUUUUUGCCUAUGUAGGAGAUCCCUGUUUAUUAUUAUUAUAAUUCUAAUGGUGACAUUAGUAAUGAUACAUGGUGAUAUUAUUAAUACACAUGCUUAUUCUUUCUAUGUCUCUCUUUCUGCCCUACAGAUGGCUGAAAAAGGUGAAUGCUGUAGCAGCAAAGUGUCGGACUACUUCUGCAAAUACUUUAACUUUAGUAUUAUAAUUUAUUUACAGAACACACACAGACUGUUAAAACCAGCUUCAACUGGAAGAAAGUAAAAGUGUUUUUUUGACCAUUAAAAAAUAUAUACUUUUGAUGUGCAAUUGUUUAAUCAUUGAGACUAUAAUCUAAGGCUUUUUUUUUUACAUAAUCUCUUCUGGAAAAUGGUUUAUACAGCCCACAUACAUAGAACAGGCAGAUAUUUUGCUAUUGAAUGUUGUGUAAGUGCAGUAUAUAGGAAAUGGGUCUAAUAUCCAGUUUAUUUUCAAAAUCAAAAUAUCGGCUUAUAAAUCGGCUCUUUUCGAGUUAAUAUCGGCAUCGGCAUCGGCCCCCAAAAAUCCAUAUCGGUCGGGCUCUACUCUGUACUACUGUGCCCUGCAGCCCACAGUGACAGGAAACACAAGAACACUGUACAAAAACUUUCUCAUGGCCUAGACUUACUAGGAGGUGCUUUCACACCAGUCAUAGUUUUCCCCAGUUGUCUUUCCAGACUGAUACGAUGUGAUGCACUUUUCUCAUGACAAUUUUCUCAUGAUAUUUCUCAUGAAAUAUCAUCUCUGCUGCUGCAUUAGUUGAUUAUGUUUCUGCCAGCUUCCUAAUUCAAUGAACAUAUAUUUCUAGAACUUGAAUUUAGCUGACAAAGAGCUUUGUAAAUACAAAAACAUUACACAUUAUACCACAUAAAGCUUUGAUUAAUAUUCAUUCACACAGCUUCAUAUGAAAAGAUAAUCUCAAUGGCUUCUUUACUACACUACUGCUGAUGCCUGAUGUAAUACACUACUUGCUUGUGAAUUAUUAGAAAGUGCAUUAUAUAGCCUAUAUAAUACUACAAAUAAGGCAAACCCACAUUAGAAACUUCCACUAAAUAACGGAAUCAUGAGCCCUGCUUAAAUAGUUUAAAAUGUAAUAAUUGCAAGACAUUUAAGGACAAUUGUUUAUUCAUUAUAUUCAACAUUUGCACUGGUAAAAAGUAGUCUGAUGCUAUCAAUGGUUGACAUUUGAGAAUCAGGACAAACAAUUGUACUUUUAAAACCUAUUCCAACAUGUAGGAGUUGAGAGUCCAUUUAAUUAAGAAUGUAAUAUUAGAUAAAUUAGACUUACACAAACCAUCCUAUACAGUCGGAUAUCGGUAGGGUGAGAUGAGUGAGAUGAGUGAGUAGGCAUCUGUGGGAGGAGCUCAGUAUUUUAUAAACUCCUGCAGAAUAAAUCAGAGACAACACCUUCAUAAAGAUCCUGACAGAAGUC